rnacentral:misc_RNA from 1 species
GAUGAAGAACGUAGCGAAAUGCGAUAAGUAAUGUGAAUUGCAGAAUUCAGUGAAUCAUCGAAUCUUUGAACGCACAUUGCGCCCUCUGGUAUUCCGGGGGGCAUGCCUGUUCGAGCGUCAUUAUAACCACUCAAGCUCUCGCUUGGUAUUGGGGUUCGCGGUUCCGCGGCCCCUAAAAUCAGUGGCGGUGCCUGUCGGCUCUACGCGUAGUAAUACUCCUCGCGAUUGAGUCCGGUAGGUCUACUUGCCAGCAACCCCCAAUUUUUACAGGUUGACCUCGGAUCAGGUAGGGAUACCCGCUGAACUUAAGAAUAUCAAUAAGCGGAGGA